rnacentral:lncRNA from 1 species
UCGUUACAAACUUCAUAAGUUAAAACACAAAUAAAGUAAAAUAUAUCCAACAUUAAAGUCUAAUGGAAAUACAAGAAUAUUGUCAAAUUAAAAAAUAUAUAAAAAUUUGUUGCUUCCUCAAAUUGCUAAUGUAACCACUUGUCUAAUAUUCAAUCCUGAAGAAAUUUCCACCUUCAUAUACCUGUGAAAAGAAAAUCAAGUAAUAAUAAAUUAAACUUUCAAACAUUAAUAGUGAAGCAAAUGGGAUAUAAGUAAAGAUAUUUACUCGAGUUUAAGCAAUGGAGUAUUUAUUAUCAAUUCUUCUUUGGCUACAAAUAAUCACAAGAAUUAAGAGUAAAGAUAUAAAAUUUUAAGUAUUUAACCACUCCAAAAGUAAGAAAACCAAACAAAAUUUCUUUAUACCUUAACAAUAAAAUUACAAUAAAUAAGAACCCUAAUACAUAAAUGCAGCAUACCUUCAGGAGAAAACCAAAUUUAUAAAUUCCCAACAAAUGCAAGGAAAGGAAAUUCUGCAUGAGAAAUAAUAUGACAUGCCCUGGAUCUGUAAUGAAACAAAAGAAGCAUGAGAAAUAAAUGCACAACGUUGCAGAUUUAGUCUUCUAAAAUUAUUAAAUAAAAAACUUUUUUUUGAAGAAAAUCAAACAUUGUAAAUAGUGUGUAUGUGCUUGUGAGAAAGAGAGAAAUUGAAAUGAUAUAUUAUGGUGUUAAUGUGGCAGAUCUUACUGGAGCAAGGGCUAGAUGAGAGUUGAAGAUCACAUAGAGAGAUGGGCGAAGAAAUGGCCUAGAAGAAGGGGAUGAGAGUU